rnacentral:rRNA from 1 species
CUACAAUGGCGUAAACAAAGGGAAGCGAAGGCGUGAGCGUAAGCAAAACCCAAAAAUAAACGUCCCAGUUCGGAUUGUAGUCUGCAACCCGACUACAUGAAGCUGGAAUCGCUAGUAAUCGCGGAUCAGAAUGCCGCGGUGAAUACGUUCCCGGGUCUUGUACACACCGCCCGUCACACCAUGAGAGUCGGGAACACCCGAAGUCCGUAGCCUAACUGCAAAGGGGGCGCGGCCGAAGGUGGGUUCGAUAAUUGGGGUGAAGUCGUAACAAGGUAUC